rnacentral:rRNA from 1 species
AGCAGCCGCGGUAAUUCCAGCUCCAAUAGCGUAUAUUAAAGUUGUUGCAGUUAAAAAGCUCGUAGUUGAAUUUCGGGGUCAGUAGGUCGGUCGUGCCACUGGUAUGCACUGGUCUCACUGAUUCCUCCUUCUUGUAGAACCGUAAUGCCAUUAAGUUGGUGUUGCGGGGAAACAGGACUGUUACUUUGAAAAAAUUAGAGUGUUUAAAGCAAGCUAACGCUUGAAUACAUUAGCAUGGAAUAAUGAAAUAGGACGAACGAUCCUAUUUUGUUGGUUUCUAGGAUUGACGUAAUGAUUAAUAGGGAUAGUUGGGGGCAUUAGUAUUCAAUUGUCAGAGGUGAAAUUCUUGGAUUUAUUGAAGACUAACUACUGCGAAAGCAUUUGCCAAGGAUGUUUUCAUUAAUCAAGAACGAAAGUUAGGGGAUCGAAGACGAUCAGAUACCGUCGUAGUCUUAACCAUAAACUAUGCCGACUAGGGAUCGGAUGAUGUUAAUUUUAUAAUGACUCAUUCGGCGCCUUA